rnacentral:rRNA from 1 species
CCUACGGGUGGCAGCAGUGGGGAAUAUUGCACAAUGGGGGAAACCCUGAUGCAGCGACGCCGCGUGAGUGAAGAAGUAAUUCGUUACGUAAAGCUCUAUCAGCAGGGAAGAAAUACUGACCUUACGGUCAGCAGACGGUACCUGAGUAAGAAGCCCCGGCUAACUACGUGCCAGCAGCCGCGGUAAUACGUAGGGGGCAAGCGUUAUCCGGAUUUACUGGGUGUAAAGGGAGCGUAGACGGUGCGCCAAGUCUGGAGGGAAAUGCCGCAGCUUAACUGCGGAACUGCUUGGGAAACUGGCGAACUAGAGUGCGGGAGGGGGAAGCGGAAUUCCUAGUGUAGCGGUGAAAUGCGUAGAUAUUAGGAGGAACACCGGUGGCGAAGGCGGCUUACUGGACCGUAACUGACGUUGAGGCUCGAAAGCGUGGGGAGCAAACAGGAUUAGAUACCCUGGUAGUC